CCCUUAGAUGUUCUGGGCCGCACGCGUGCUACACUGAGUGGAUCAGCGGGUCAGGUUGCGCGAAAGCGUUUCCUAAUCUUUAAAUCCGCUCGUGAUGGGGAUUGACGGUUGCAAUUUUCUGUCAUGAACGAGGAAUACCUUGUAAGCGCAGGUCAUCAUCCCGCGCUGAAUACGUCCCUGCCCUUUGUACACACCGCCCGUCGCUCCUACCGAUUGAGUGGUCCGGUGAGGCUUUGGGAUCUGAGCGGAAAGAGCGUUUCGCUGUUUCUGCUCGGAAAACUCAGUCGAACCUUAUCAUUUAGAGGAAGGAGAAGUCGUAACA
rnacentral:rRNA from 1 species